rnacentral:rRNA from 1 species
UACGGGGGGGGCAAGCGUUGUUCGGAAUUACUGGGCGUAAAGGGCUCGUAGGUGGCCAACUAAGUCAGACGUGAAAUCCCUCGGCUUAACCGGGGAACUGCGUGUGAUACUGGAUGGCUUGAAUUCGGGAGAGGGAUGCAGAAUUCCAGGUGUAGCGGUGAAAUGCGUAGAUAUCUGGAGGAAUACCGGUGGCGAAGGCGGCAUCCUGGACCGACAUUGACGCUGAGGAGCGAAAGCUAGGGGAGCAAACGGG